GAGUUUGAUCCUGGCUCAGGACGAACGCUGGCGGCGUGCUUAACACAUGCAAGUCGAACGAUGAAGCCCUUCGGGGUGGAUUAGUGGCGAACGGGUGAGUAACACGUGGGCAAUCUGCCCUUCACUCUGGGACAAGCCCUGGAAACGGGGUCUAAUACCGGAUAAUACUUUCUCCCUCCUGGGAGAAGGUUGAAAGCUCCGGCGGUGAAGGAUGAGCCCGCGGCCUAUCAGCUAGUUGGUGGGGUAAUGGCCUACCAAGGCGACGACGGGUAGCCGGCCUGAGAGGGCGACCGGCCACACUGGGACUGAGACACGGCCCAGACUCCUACGGGAGGCAGCAGUGGGGAAUAUUGCACAAUGGGCGAAAGCCUGAUGCAGCGACGCCGCGUGAGGGAUGACGGCCUUCGGGUUGUAAACCUCUUCAGCAGGGAAGAAGCGAAAGUGAC
rnacentral:rRNA from 1 species